rnacentral:rRNA from 1 species
AGCGGCGGAUGGGUGAGUAACACGUGGGGAACCUGCCCCUAAGUCUGGGAUACCAUUUGGAAACAGGUGCUAAUACCGGAUAAUAAAGCAGAUCGCAUGAUCAGCUUUUGAAAGGCGGCGUAAGCUGUCGCUAAGGGAUGGCCCCGCGGUGCAUUAGCUAGUUGGUAAGGUAACGGCUUACCAAGGCGACGAUGCAUAGCCGAGUUGAGAGACUGAUCGGCCACAUUGGGACUGAGACACGGCCCAAACUCCUACGGGAGGCAGCAGUAGGGAAUCUUCCACAAUGGACGCAAGUCUGAUGGAGCAACGCCGCGUGAGUGAAGAAGGUUUUCGGAUCGUAAAGCUCUGUUGUUGGUGAAGAAGGAUAGAGGUAGUAACUGGCCUUUAUUUGACGGUAAUCAACCAGAAAGUCACGGCUAACUACGUGCCAGCAGCCGCGGUAAUACGUAGGUGGCAGGCGUUGUCCGGAUUUAUUGGGCGUAAAGCGAGCGCAGGCGGAAAAAUAAGUCUAAUGUGAAAGCCCUCGGCUUAACCGAGGAACUGCAUCGGAAACUGUUUUUCUUGAGUGCAGAAGAGGAGAGUGGAACUCCAUGUGUAGCGGUGGAAUGCGUAGAUAUACGGAAGAACACCAGUGGCGAAGGCGGCUCUCUGGUCUGCAACUGACGCUGAGGCUCGAAAGCAUGGGUAGCGAACAGGAUUAGAUACCCUGGUAGUCCAUGCCGUAAACGAUGAGUGCUAAGUGU